rfam:Rattus norvegicus chromosome 5, whole genome shotgun sequence.
GGGGAUUUAGCUCAGUGGUAGAGCGCUUGCCUAGGAAGCGCAAGGCCCUGGGUUCGGUCCCCAGCCCCG